rnacentral:rRNA from 1 species
CCCAUGUGAAACCCCUUCGACGAGUCGAGUURUUURRGAAUGCAGCUCCAAAUGRGUGGUAAAUUUCAUCUAAAGCUAAAUACCGGCUGGAGACCGAUAGCGCACAAGUAGAGUGAUCGAAAGAUGAAAAGCACUUUGGAAAGAGAGUCAAAAAGUACGUGAAAUUGUUGAAAGGGAAGCGCUUGCAACCAGACCUGUCCGUCGGUGAUCAGCCGCCGUUCUCGGUGGUGCACUCGCCGGCGAUCAGGCCAGCAUCGGUUCGGGCGGUCGGAUAAAGGCCUUGGGAACGUAGCUCCCUUCGGGAAGUCUUACAGCCCUCGGUGCAAUGCGGCCAGCCCGGACCGAGGACCGCGCUUCGGCUAGGAUGCUGGCGUAAUGGUUGUAAGCGACCCGUCUUGAAACACGGACCAAGGAGUCUAACAUCUAUGCAAGUGUUCGGGCGUCAACCCCAUACGCGCAAUGAAAGUGAACGGAGGUGAGAACCCGUCGGGGCGCAUCAUCGACCGAUCCAGAUGUCUUCGGAUGGAUUUGAGUAUGAGCAUAGCUGUUGGGACCCGAAAGAUGGUGAACUAUGCCUGGAUAGGGUGAAGCCAGAGGAAACUCUGGUGGAGGCUCGCAGCGGUUCUGACGUGCAAAUCGAUCGUCAAAUCUGGGUAUAGGGGCGAA